UACAGAGGGGGCAAGCGUUGUCCGGAAUUACUGGGCGUAAAGGGCGCGUAGGCGGCCUUCUAAGUCGAACGUGAAAUCCCCGGGCUCAACCCGGGAACUGCGUCCGAUACUGGAAGGCUUGAAUCCGGGAGAGGGAUGCGGAAUUCCAGGUGUAGCGGUGAAAUUCGUAGAUAUUCGGAAGAACACCAGUGGCGAAGGCGGCUCAUUGGACUGGUAUUGACGCUGAGGUGCGAAAGCGUGGGGAGCAAACAGG
rnacentral:rRNA from 1 species